rnacentral:rRNA from 1 species
GAUGAACGCUGGCGGCGUGCUUAACACAUGCAAGUCGAACGAGAAGUGGAGACGGAAACCUUCGGGCGGAAGACUUUAUUUCGAGUGGCGGACGGGUGAGUAACGCGUGGGUAACCUGCCUCAUACAGGGGGAUAACAGUUGGAAACGACUGUUAAUACCGCAUAAGACCACAGCACGGCAUGGUGCGGGGGUAAAAACUCCGGUGGUAUGAGAUGGACCCGCGUUCGAUUAGCCAGUUGGCGGGGUAACGGCCCACCAAAGCGACGAACGAGAGCCGAUCUGAGAGGAUGACCGGCCACAUUGGGACUGAGACACGGCCCAAACUCCUACGGGAGGCAGCAGUGGGGAAUAUUGCACAAUGGGGGAAACCCUGAUGCAGCGGCGCCGCGUGAGUGAAGAAGUAUUUCGGUAUGUAAAGCUCUAUCAGCAGGGAAGAAAAUGACGGUACCGGAGUAAGAAGCCCCGGCUAACUACGUG